GUAAACUGUACAUCAGGCACUACUUAGAGCACUUUUUACCUAGUCUUGCUCCCCCUUAGCCUACAAGAGCUAACAAAAGCAUUCAGACAAGUGGGCUGCCCAAAGUUACAAAACAUAUCCCAACCUCAUCUUCCUACUCGUCUUACCUUUAACAGACCUCAUCAGGAGGUGAAGCCCUAAAGAGUUGCGGACCCGAAAUGCAAACUCUCACCUUGGGCCGUAACUCGGGUUCACCACCGGUCGUGCCCGUCCCACGUAGGCCUUAGUUUUUGGCUUCGGGCCUGACACGCGGAGGGGAGCGGAGAGUGGGGUUGAGGGAGUGACAACUGCCCCGGAGGGCGGGAGGGGAUGCUAAGAGGGCAGAUGCAGGGGAAAGAGGAGCCAGACUGCCAGACUACCAGCUCUCGGCUGCGUGUCCGCCACGGCCACGUUAUCUCCCCGCCCCACACAGCCAAGGGGGCGGUGCAGAGCCGGCACGCCCCACUCCCGUACCGGGGAACGCCCGGAGUCAAAAAGGUGCUGCCCCCGGAGUCCCCAUCCCAGAAUCCCCCGGGGCGAGGGGGGGAGGCGGAAAAGGAACGAAACUGACCCGAACCAGCCGGGCCAAUCAAGGCUCCCCCCACCCCGCCUAAGGCGGGAGAGCGGCAGGUUCUCCGAUAACUGGCCACCCGCUUUCUCAAAGGUAAAGCCCCGAACGAAAAAAGAGACGGAUGCCUGCAGGGAGCGAAGUCUCAGGCGCCACAGUGCUCCUCCCCAUCAAGUCGCAAGCCUCCUCCGCCACUUUGCUCACUCACCCGCAGCUGCCGCAGCCCCCUCCGGCUAACGAUCGCAACCGCAGCCCCGCCCCUUCCCUGCAGGGCCCCGCCCCGGCCCCGCCCCCUCCCUCUUCCUUACCAACCUUCCUCAACUGGUCCAGCCUCGUGCGGCACCGAUUGGCCAAGCAUCGAAAGCGAAUACCUUAGAACCCGAGAGGGUUUCCGGGCCGGGACAAGUCUAGAAUAGAGACGGUGUUCCUCACUUACCUCCUAAUCCUUUGCUGAUUCCGCCGGCAGAGAGAACAGAAAGGGCGGGAGUGGAAAGAGAGCCUAAAUACGCCAUGAUGCCUAUGGGCGGAACCUGUCGUCUACCCGCUUCCUAUUUUGGUGGGGUGGCGUGGGACGCCCAGUAACGCCGGAGCUGACUAAGAAGGAAGAGGAGGUUGG
rnacentral:lncRNA from 1 species